rnacentral:rRNA from 1 species
ACGGCGAGUGAGCGGCAAAAGCUCAAAUUUGAAAUCUGGCGUCUUCGACGUCCGAGUUGUAAUUUGAAGAAGGCGACUUUGUAGCUGGUCCUUGUCUAUGUUCCUUGGAACAGGACGUCAUAGAGGGUGAGAAUCCCGUGUGGCGAGGAUCCCAGUUAUUUGUAAAGUGCUUUCGACGAGUCGAGUUGUUUGGGAAUGCAGCUCUAAGUGGGUGGUAAAUUCCAUCUAAAGCUAAAUAUUGGCGAGAGACCGAUAGCGAACAAGUACAGUGAUGGAAAGAUGAAAAGAACUUUGAAAAGAGAGUGAAAAAGUACGUGAAAUUGUUGAAAGGGAAGGGCAUUUGAUCAGACAUGGCGUUUGCUUCGGCUUUCGCUGGGCCAGCAUCAGUUUUAGCGGUUGGAUAAAUCCUCGGGAAUGUGGCUCUGCUUCGGUAGAGUGUUAUAGCCCGUGGGAAUACAGCCAGCUGGGACUGAGGAUUGCGACUUUUGUCAAGGAUGCUGGCGUAAUGGUUAAAUGCCGCCC